AGUUUGAUCCUGGCUCAGGAUGAACGCUGGCGGCGUGCCUAAUACAUGCAAGUCGAGCGAACCACUUCGGUGGUGAGCGGCGAACGGGUGAGUAACACGUAGGUGAUCUGCCCAUCAGACGGGGACAACGAUUGGAAACGAUCGCUAAUACCGGAUAGGACGAAAGUUUAAAGGUGCUUCUGGCACCGCUGAUGGAUGAGCCUGCGGCGCAUUAGCUAGUUGGUAGGGUAAAGGCCUACCAAGGCGACGAUGCGUAGCCGACCUGAGAGGGUGAACGGCCACACUGGGACUGAGACACGGCCCAGACUCCUACGGGAGGCAGCAGUAGGGAAUCUUCGGCAAUGGGCGAAAGCCUGACCGAGCAACGCCGCGUGAAUGAUGAAGGCCUUCGGGUUGUAAAAUUCUGUUAUAAGGGAAGAACGACUUUAGUAGGAAAUGGCUAGAGUGUGACGGUACCUUAUGAGAAAGCCACGGCUAACUACGUGCCAGCAGCCGCGGUAAUACGUAGGUGGCGAGCGUUAUCCGGAAUUAUUGGGCGUAAAGAGCGCGCAGGUGGUUGAUUAAGUCUGAUGUGAAAGCCCACGGCUUAACCGUGGAGGGUCAUUGGAAACUGGUCGACUUGAGUGCAGAAGAGGGAAGUGGAAUUCCAUGUGUAGCGGUGAAAUGCGUAGAGAUAUGGAGGAACACCAGUGGCGAAGGCGGCUUCCUGGUCUGUAACUGACACUGAGGCGCGAAAGCGUGGGGAGCAAACAGGAUUAGAUACCCUGGUAGUCCACGCCGUAAACGAUGAGUGCUAAGUGUUGGGGGUCGAACCUCAGUGCUGAAGUUAACGCAUUAAGCACUCCGCCUGGGGAGUACGGUCGCAAGACUGAAACUCAAAGGAAUUGACGGAAGGGCGAA
rnacentral:rRNA from 1 species